rnacentral:rRNA from 1 species
CCCCUAGAUGUUCUGGGCCGCACGCGCGCUACACUGAUUCAUGCAACAAGUUUUGUCCUUGGCUGAUAGGCCUGGGUAAUCUUUGAACGUGAAUCGUGAUGGGGAUAGAUGAUUGCAAUUAUUCAUCUUCAACGAGGAAUUCCUAGUAAACGCAAGUCAUCAGCUUGCAUUGAUUACGUCCCUGCCCUUUGUACACACCGCCCGUCGCACCUACCGAUUGAAUGGUCCGGCGAAAUCUUCGGAUCUGAGAGAUGUCUGAUUAAUUUCGGACGCCUUUUGGAAAAGUUGCUUAAACCUUACCAUUUAGAGGAAGGUGAAGUCGUAACA